rnacentral:lncRNA from 1 species
CAAAGUACAAAGGUGUUGUUGGCAGCAAUUUGCCUGGUAGUGCCUCUUUCUUUGAUAAUGAACAAAGCAAACACAUAGUUGUUUUUUUUUAUUACAACCUUAAUUACUAAUAUUAACCCUCGGAUAUCUUACACGUCACACAGUAAAUAUCUCUGUAUGGCUCCCUAUAUGUGCACGGGUAGGUUAUCAAAUAUCCAUGAAGUGUUAAAGAGGCUGUGGCAGAAUUCAAGUCCUUUCAAGUUCUAGAAGCUGAAAAGCUGAUGCAAAAAGAAUUCUCAGCUGGAUGUCAGGUCCGCCAUUGUGCAGCCACAGGGUUCAGCUGCAGAAGCAAGGUAAAGUGAAGUCUGCAGAGGUAGGGGACAGGGCUGAUCCAGGCAAACAAACAAACGAUGGCCAGAUAGCAGGUCCAGAGGGGCCAACAGGCGGCUAGAUGGAGGGUAAUUUGAUAGGCUGUGUCAACAGUGGAGACUGAGCCAAACUGAAGCCCCUGGGAUGGUCAAGAAUUCUCUGCUUGUCAGUCUCCUUACACACACACCAGGUGUCAGAUGGGGGCUAUCAGCACCCCAGUGCUAGGUGUCCCAUCCUCUGUGAGAUACAAGUGAAGCAGUUGUCCCUUCCUCCAGUCUGCUAUGUCAGAUUGUUUUUUUUUGGCCUGGUUUUCCUGAGGUGAUUUUAGUACGUCCAUGAGCUCCUUCAGCCCCAGUUUACUUGGGAGGUACCUAUUCUACUUUUAGGAACAUGUCAAUAGUUUGUACCUUGUGAGUAGUGACAGACAAAUGAUGUUGUUACAUAUUCAUCAUGGUGCAGAUUCAUCCUCCAUUCUCAAAAUGGAAGAGAAACCUCCUCAUAAAAUGCAGUCUCUCAGGGCAAGGCCCAGUCUGAAGACUCAUCAUUUUACAUAGUAUGGGGUACUUUAGGGCAGCAUGAUCUAAACAACGUUCUAGAACCACUGAAGCCCUUAAGGGUCUCCUAAGUAAACAAGCCUAGUGUAUGUGAUAAUAAACACAAUAGCAAAUACCAGUUAAAGCUCAUUUAAUACUUUACACACAUUAUCUCAUUUGAAGUCUUGCUUUUAAAAGGAACCAUACCCAGUUAGGACACGGUUAGCUGCAAAAACAAAACAAACAACAACAAAAAGAUGCAAUUGUGGCACUGGAGAGAAGGCCCACUGACUAAGAGCACUUGAUAUUCUUGUAGAAGGCCUGGGUUCAGUUCCCAGUGUCCACAACUAUCUGCAACUCCAGUUCCAGUGGUCUCGAUUCUCUUAGGGCUUUUCUAUAGGUUUCUACAAGCCGCUAGAGCCACUCUUAAUUUACCUCUUCAGGAGUCACAGUGUGGGCUGCUAUUAGGCACAAUGGCCUCUGGGGGGCAGCAGCAUGGAGCAUUUGCCUUUGGAGAGCGACAGGCGGCAGUCGACUAGAGGAGAUUCAGAUGAGCACAUACCAGUAGCUCUGACGAACACAGGUUCUGCUAACUAGAUGCUCACCACCUCAAGAUGGGACCUACUCCAGUGGAUGGCAGUUAAUGUAGAAGUUUUCUUUCACUUGGACCUGAAGCUGUGUUCAUCUGGUUCUCACCGGUUUCAGUUUCACUUUCUGGAACCAAACUGAGUAAGUCCAGUACUGCUCCCAUCUAAACACACUUCCGAGAUCUGAGAAUGAUGUUUGACUGAAAGACCCCUGCCCUUAGCUUUUUCUUUUAAGUUUGCCUCCACCUCCGGUCGGCAGCUGGCGGGGCGCGCGCGCGAAUACAUCCUCCCCUCCCCUGCACUCCCCGACCCUUGAUCCCCACAGCUGCCGGCUCCCACUUCCCG